rnacentral:rRNA from 1 species
CUCAGAUUGAACGCUGGCGGCAGGCCUAACACAUGCAAGUCGAGCGGUAGAGAGAAGCUUGCUUCUCUUGAGAGCGGCGGACGGGUGAGUAAUGCCUAGGAAUCUGCCUGGUAGUGGGGGAUAACGUUCGGAAACGGACGCUAAUACCGCAUACGUCCUACGGGAGAAAGCAGGGGACCUUCGGGCCUUGCGCUAUCAGAUGAGCCUAGGUCGGAUUAGCCAGUUGGAGGGGUAAUGGCUCACCAAGGCGACGAUCCGUAACUGGUCUGAGAGGAUGAUCAGUCACACUGGAACUGAGACACGGUCCAGACUCCUACGGGAGGCAGCAGUGGGGAAUAUUGGACAAUGGGCGAAAGCCUGAUCCAGCCAUGCCGCGUGUGUGAAGAAGGUCUUCGGAUUGUAAAGCACUUUAAGUUGGGAGGAAGGGUUGUAGAUUAAUACUCUGCAAUUUGACGUACCGACAGAAUAGGC